UGGCAGCUUUGGUGCUGAGUCAAUGAUGAUACUGACCUCCUGUGGAUUUUCUCCAGAAUUACUAUUGUACUUCAGUCAAGGGAACAAGUCCUUCCCUUGAAAAUAGAACAACAAAAAGUGCUGCUAUUAGAUGCACUGUAUGUAUGAAUGUGUGUGUGAAUGUGUGAAUGGCAACCUGUAGUGUAAAGCGCUUUGGGUGACCAAGUUACCAUGACGUAAAAAAAUAUUUUGUCUUUGGGUUCAGGAGGCAGACACAGUCUCUACAUUUAUAGAAAGACUGCUUGCUCAGGUGAGCCCUGAACCAUCCCCUAGUGAUGCUGAUAUAGGCCUGAAGACUGCUUGGGGAACUCCAUCAUCAUUUAUAUUCAUAUUUUCAUUAUGAGAAGUACAGUGUUUGUAUUUUUUAUUUCUACGUUUUGAAUGAA
rnacentral:misc_RNA from 1 species